rnacentral:rRNA from 1 species
UGAGGAAUAUUGGGCAAUGCCCGCAAGGGUGACCCAGCAACGCCGCGUGGAGGAUGAAUGUCGUAAGAUUGUAAACUCCUGUUAGAGGGGAAGAAUAGUACCGGUUGGACCGGUAUAUGACUGUACCCUCAGAGAAAGCCCCAGCUAACUACGUGCCAGCAGCCGCGGUAAUACGUAGGGGGCAAGCGUUGUCCGGAUUUACUGGGUGUAAAGGGCGCGCAGGCGGGAUAAAAAGUCAGUGGUGAAAUCCUACAGCUUAACUGUAGAACUGCCUUUGAUACUUUUAUUCUUGAGUUCGGGAGAGAGAGACGGAAUUCCAGGUGUAGUGGUGAAAUACGUAGAUAUCUGGAAGAACACCAGUUGCGAAGGCGGUCUCUUGGUCCGACACUGACGCUGAGGCGCGAAAGCGUGGGGA